rnacentral:misc_RNA from 1 species
UCAUCGCUUCUUUCUUGGGGG